rnacentral:rRNA from 1 species
UAAAUACGGUGAUGUCUGAGCAAAUUAUUUAAAUAAGCAAAACUUUCAACAACGGAUCUCUUGGUUCCGGCAUCGAUGAAGAACGCAGCGAAAUGCGAUAAGUAAUGUGGACCGCAGUACUCAGCGACUCAUCGAAUCUUUGAACGCACAUUGCGCCCCUU